rnacentral:rRNA from 1 species
UAGUCCACGCCGUAAACGAUGGUCACUAGCUGUUCGGACUUCGGUCUGAGUGGCUAAGCGAAAGUGAUAAGUGACCCACCUGGGGAGUACGUUCGCAAGAAUGAAACUCAAAGGAAUUGACGGGGGCCCGCACAAGCGGAGGAACAUGUGGCUUAAUUCGAUGAUACGCGAGGAACCUUGCCUGGGCUUAAAUGUAGAUUGCAUGACGUGGAAACACGCUUCCCUUCGGGGCUAUCUACAAGGUGCUGCAUGGUUGUCGUCAGCUCGUGCCGUGAGGUGUCGGGUUAAGUCCCAUAACGAGCGCAACCCUUAUCGUUAGUUGCCAUCAGGUGAUGCUGGGGACUCUAGCGAGACUGCCACCGUAAGGUGAGAGGGAAGGUGGGGAUGACGUCAAAUCAGCACGGGCCCUUAUGUCCAGGGGCUACACACGUGUUACAAUGGCAGGUACAAAGGGGCAGCUACACCGCGAGGGUGAUGCUAAUC